rnacentral:misc_RNA from 1 species
AAGUCGUAACAAGGUUUCCGUAGGUGAACCUGCGGAAGGAUCAUUAGUGAUUUGGCUUCGGCCUUUAUCCAAUCCAAACCUCUGUGCUCUGGCCCUCUGUGGCCGUCAAACAUUGUGUAAGAAACGUCAUAUAACAAAACAAAACAAAACUUUCAACAACGGAUCUCUUGGCUCUC